UCGAAAAAAACACCCAUGCUCCCUUCGCGCCAUCUCCGCGCCGCCGCGCGGCAGCGGAGCCCCCGGCCCCCGGCCGGCGCCGGCGACGCCUCAUUCUCCGCCAAGCCCAACGCGGAGGUGAUCCAGCGGAACAAGGCUAUCACCGCCCACAUGCGCGCGGGCCGCGUCCCGGACGCCGAGCGCCUCUUCGCCGCGAUGCCACGCCGCUCCACCUCUACCUACAAUGCCAUGCUCGCCGGGUAUGCCGCCAACGGCCGCCUCCCGCUGGCUCUCUCCUUCUUCCGCUCUAUCCCGCGGCCCGACACCUUCUCCUACAACACGCUCCUCCACGCGCUGGCGGUCUCCUCAUCCCUGGCCGACGCGCGGAGCCUGUUCGAAGAAAUGCCCGUAAAGGACUCCGUGUCCUACAACGUCAUGAUCUCGUCUCACGCCAACCAUGGGCUUGUCUCGCUCGCGCGGCACUACUUUGAUCUCGCACCAGAGAAGGAUGCUGUUUCGUGGAAUGGCAUGCUUGCUGCGUAUGUGCGGAAUGGACGAAUUCAAGAAGCUAGGGGGCUGUUUAAUUCGAGGACAGAGUGGGAUGCAAUUUCUUGGAACGCUUUGAUGGCUGGGUAUGUGCAGUGGGGUAAGAUGGCUGAAGCGCAGGAGAUGUUUAAUAGAAUGCCGCAGAGAGAUGUUGUGUCUUGGAACAUUAUGGUAUCUGGGUAUGCAAGGAGAGGGGAUAUGAUGGAGGCGAGAAGGUUGUUUGAUGCAGCUCCGGUUAGGGACGUCUUCACAUGGACAGCAGUUGUGUCUGGGUAUGCACAAAAUGGGAUGCUCGAAGAGGCCAGGAGAGUGUUUGAUGCCAUGCCAGAGAAGAAUGCUGUAUCAUGGAAUGCAAUGAUGGCAGCAUUUGUUCAGCGGAAGAUGAUGGAUGAGGCGAAGGAGUUGUUUGAUGCAAUGCCCUGCAGGAACGUAGCUUCAUGGAACACAAUGCUGACUGGAUAUGCUCAGGCUGGGAUGUUGGAGGCGGCGAGGGCAAUUUUUGACAUGAUGCCACAGAAGGACGCAGUCUCGUGGGCUGCAAUGCUGGCUGCAUAUUCUCAAGGUGGUUUCAGUGAGGAAACCCUGCAGUUGUUCAAAGAGAUGGGGCGUUGUGGUGAGUGGGUGAAUAGGUCAGCAUUUGCUUGUGUUUUGAGCACAUGUGCUGACAUUGCUGCACUUGAGUGUGGAAUGCAGCUUCAUAGCAGGUUGAUUAAGGCUGGUUAUGGUGUGGGCUGCUUUGUGGGGAAUGCACUCCUAGCUAUGUACUUCAAAUGUGGAAAUAUGGAGGAAGCUCACAAUGCAUUUGAGGAGAUGGAGGAGAGGGAUGUUGUUUCAUGGAAUACUAUGAUUGCAGGCUAUGCACGGCAUGGUUUUGGCAAGGAAGCACUUGAGUUUUUUGAUACAAUGAGGAAGACCUCUACAAAGCCAGAUGAUAUUACUUUGGUUGGAGUACUUGCAGCAUGUAGUCAUUCUGGUUUGGUUGAGAAAGGCAUUUCAUACUUCUAUUCGAUGCACCACAAUUUUGGUGUGACAGCAAAACCUGAACACUACACUUGUAUGAUAGACCUUCUUGGACGGGCUGGAAGAUUGGAUGAAGCGGUUAAUCUUAUGAAGGACAUGCCUUUUGAGCCUGACUCUACCAUGUGGGGUGCGUUACUUGGUGCUAGUAGGAUCCACCGCAAUUCUGAACUAGGCAGGAGUGCAGCUGAGAAAAUAUUUGAGUUGGAACCUGAAAAUGCUGGCAUGUAUGUCUUGCUAUCAAAUAUAUAUGCAUCCUCUGGCAAAUGGCGUGAUGUGGAUAAAAUGAGACUUAUGAUGUAUGAGCGUGGUGUGAAGAAGGUUCCAGGAUUCAGUUGGAUUGAAGUGCAGAACAAAGUCCACACUUUCUCAGUGGGUGAUUGUGUACAUUCUGAGAAGGAAGACAUAUAUGAUUUCCUGGAAGACCUUGACAUGAGGAUGAAAAAAGCAGGCUAUGUAUCUGCUACAGAUAUGGUUUUGCAUGAUGUGGAGGAGGAAGAGAAGGAGCACAUGCUCAAGUAUCACAGUGAGAAGCUUGCUGUUGCUUAUGGUAUUCUUAAGAUUCCUCCUGGGAGGCCCAUCAGGGUGAUAAAAAACCUGAGAGUAUGCGAAGACUGCCAUACUGCUUUCAAGUAUAUAUCUGCUAUUGAGGGCAGGCUGAUCAUAUUGCGGGAUUCUAACCGUUUUCACCAUUUUAGAGAUGGUUCAUGUUCAUGUGGUGAUUACUGGUAAUGAUGAGUAUAUUCAUGCAAAGAAAUUCUGAAGGAAAUGUAGUAGACUGUGGAUGUCGAAAUCAUGAUUAUGCAAUGCAGACUACAGACAAAAAUAUUGGGCAUCCUGAUGUCUGGAUCUGGCCAUGUUCGCCACUAGGCUUUCUACUUUAUUUCUGGUUCAAAAAGAUUAUCCAGGUGUGGCAUUGGAAUAUUCAAGAGGAUGGUGCUAUCCAGUGAAACAUCCUCUAUUGAGCUUGAAUAUACGUUGACAAACCAAACUGCAGAAAGCAAUUGCAGGCAUGUAUUGCCAUGCCAUUUCCGUCAGAAUAACAGUGAUGGCAAAACUAAAGGUUCUUCCAUUGGCUCAGGUAUGCAUGCUUUGCAUGAUCAAUCAGGUGCUGCUAUCUGGUUGCAAGGGGGUAUCAUGCAUCUGAUCUACCAGCGACGAGCUCAGGAGCAGGCAACUCUGUGCAUGCAUGGAGCUGAAGGUUUUGCUCAUUCUAGUGGAUGGAUCUUCAGAGCCUGCACAUCUUUCUGUCAUGUGAGUCGUAUUUCUCUGCAGCCCUUCAUUUCAGUUGAUAACUACUACCAUAACACAUAGUUUGAGGGAUUACAGGAGAACCUGAAUCCUGAUAAUGAAAGUCUUGCAACUAAACUAAACCUCUUCAUGUUUAAAGUUUCAACGCCUUAUUUAAGAUUUCUGGUAACUCUGUCCUGACAUGUUUAGCCACUAAACACGAACGUGCAUGCACGCCUUGGUGACGGAUUAUAAUGUUGCUUACUUGCCACAAAUUACAGUUUUUUCACACGUCCUAAUAUCUGGCAGUGUCAGGCAUAAGCUGCACCUACUGUUUACAUGUCAAAACAACUGGCUUGAACAAACAAAAUUCUUGUCCAUUGUUCAUAGAGACACCGAGGGAGGUUCCAUACUUCCAUCCAUCUUUGUUGGAUUCCAUGUCAAGGACACUUCAUUCAUCUGCAAGCUUGACAGUUCCUCUUGGGCCAUCCUCAUGUGUAGGCAUGUGAGCGGCGUC